UUUAAUUUUUUAAAAAAUUAAUUAAUUAAUUAAUUUUAUUUUACUGGUUUAUAGUUUAUUUUUUAAAAAAUAAGCAAAAAAGAAAAAAGUUGAAAAGUAAAAUAAUCAAAGAAUUUUUUGUAGACAAAUUCGAAAUUGAUUUGGAUUACGAUUGAGAUUUUGGAGAAUGAAUCAAAGGCAAGAAAUUGAGUGAGACCAAAAUUCACUUUGAUUGAGAGCCCUUUUCGGUGGGGGAUUAAUUCUUAUGAAACGACCUUUAAUCAACAAGGAAAAAAAGAACCAAAAGGAGUUCAUCAGCCAAAUCACAACAGAGAGCAAUUCAAAGCCAAGCAAUAACUAGUGCCCAGAAAAUCCAAACCUAGAGGCAAUCAGAAAAAACAAAAUCACGAUUCGGAUAUAAAAUCCUCAAUCACAACAAAAACAUACAAACGCAACAAAGACAAUUGCCGAACAAAUACUACCCACAAUUAAAACGCAAGAAUCGGCAGUAAUACACACCAAUCAUAUAGAGCACUAUACAACAAUAGUCAGAAACAACUGAAACUGAGAGAUCGCAGCAAAAAAAGAAAGUCUGACAGUGUGUAUAUUUUUUUUAUUUGGGGGUCUCGGCUAUGGUUCGAGCUGUGAAAAAGCUAUGGUAGAUCUUGCGGUUCUAGAUUUGUAGAAAAGAAAGAUUUAAGAGCAAGUAAAAACAUACAGGCAUAGAGAGAUGUUUUGAGCGCCAGAACAUAGUAGAAACGAUGGGGAAGGGUCACGGGUUUCGAUUCAAAUCGAGGGAAUUUGAGAAAGAUUUCCAAGAAUCGAACCCCGAAAAAGUGAAGAAGAUGGUGAUGGGAAUUUUUUGAACUUUUGAGUAUUUUCCCGUUACCGGCAAGCCGCGGUCACCGGUAACAACCGACGACCACCACGGCGUCAUACGCCGGAAUCUGGGUUUGCGCUUGGCCGGCAUUCAUAUUUGGAGAGGUCAAAGAGUGGGGAUGUAGAGAGAGAAGAUAAAA
rnacentral:lncRNA from 1 species